rnacentral:rRNA from 1 species
UGGGGAAUCAUGGUCAAUGGGCGAAAGCCUGAACCUGCGACGCCGCGUGAGUGAUGAAGGUCGUAAGAUCGUAAAACUCUUUUCAGGGAUCUUAAAGCCUGUCUGUCAACAACAGGCAGAUCUGACUCUCCCUGGAAGAAGCCCCAGCCAACUACGUGCCAGCAGCCGCGGUAAUACGUAGGUGGUGAGCGUUAUCCGGAAUUAUUGGGCGUAAAGAGCGCGCAGGUGGUUGAUUAAGUCUGAUGUGAAAGCCCACGGCUUAACCGUGGAGGGUCAUUGGAAACUGGUCAACUUGAGUCCCGGAGAGGAAGGUGGAAUUCCCAGUGUAGAGGUGAAAUUCGUAGAUAUUGGGAGGAACACCGGUGGCGAAGGCGACCUUCUGGACGGUAACUGACGCUGAGACGCGAAAGCGUGGGGAGCAAACA